rnacentral:rRNA from 1 species
UACGGGGGGGGGCAAGCGUUGUUCGGAAUUACUGGGCGUAAAGGCUCGUAGGCGGCCAACUAAGUCAGACGUGAAAUCCCUCGGCUUAACCGGGGAACUGCGUCUGAUACUGGAUGGCUUGAGGUUGGGAGAGGGAUGCGGAAUUCCAGGUGUAGCGGUGAAAUGCGUAGAUAUCUGGAGGAACACCGGUGGCGAAGGCGGCAUCCUGGACCAACUUCUGACGCUGAGGAGCGAAAGCCAGGGGAGCAAACGGG